AAGGAUCCAUUAGUAACUGCGAGUGAAACGGGAUGAGCCCAGCGCUGAAUCUUCGUGCUGUAAUGGUGCGGCGAACUGUAGCGUAUAGAGGCGGUUUUUUGUGAUUGAGUGCUGCUUAAGUUCCCCUUGACUGGGGUUCCAUAGAAGGUGUUAGGCCUGUUAAGCGGUUACCUGAUUGCGAAUGAUCGUUUCUGGGAGUCGGGUUGUUUGGAAACACAGCCCUAAGUAGGUGGUAUACUCCAUCUAAGGCUAAAUAUUACCACAAGUCCGAUAGCGAACAAGUACCGUGAGGGAAAGUUGCAAAGUACUCUGAAGAGAGAGUUAAAAAGGACGUGAAACUGAUAAAGUGUAAGCGGAUAGAGUUGACGAACCUUAACUCGUAAUCAGCCGGUUGGCUUGUAUGCGGUGUGUUGGCGUUUUACCGUUCAGGUUAGCGUUGGCGCAUGCAGUAUGCGGUUUGACUGGUGCACUUGCGAGUGGUGCGCUGAUGCGAAUGAUUGAGCUGCGGGAAGCGUAUUAAGAGGGCAUUCCUUCGCGGGAGUGUGUACUUGUUGCGUGGAAAGCGGUCUCUUGGUUAUUCGGUUGCGAAUGUGCGUGUACCUUGGUGGUUGCAUUGCUGGUGCUCGGUUGGGAUCGCGUGCGAUUUCGCUUUGCAUUGGUAGUGUUACUGUUUGGGGAAGCGUGCGUUUCAUCGGUGUAAAAGUCGACCACCUAUCCGUCCCGUCUUGAAACACGGACCAAGGAGUUUAACGUAUGCGCRAGUCAUUGGGUGUGCAAAACCUAAAGGCGUAAUGAAAGUAAAGGCUUCCGUUGGGUUGCUUAUAUGUGAUUUGUGYUGUUUCGGCAGCGCAAAGCAGCAUGGUCCCGUCUAUGCCGUAUACGGUUGGGCGGAGAUAGAGCGUAUGCGUUGAGACCCGAAAGAUGGUGAACUAUGCCUGAGCAGGAUGAAGCCGGAGGAAACUCCGGUGGAAGUCCGAAGCGGUUCUGACGUGCAAAUCGAUCGUCUGACUUGGGUAUAGGGGCGAAAGACUAAUCGACAUC
rnacentral:rRNA from 1 species